rnacentral:rRNA from 1 species
AUGUCCUCCCCUCUCUCUUGCAUCGCCGACCUUUCGGCAACCUCCGCCGUUAACGCCCCCUAUCAAACUCACGGGAACGAACCAGCUGAGAGGGGGGAAAUGUCGGCGACACGCUACCAUACGCGGAAGCUAGCUACGCCCCAACCGCCUCCACUUUCCACUUCUCGUGGUAAAGCACCACGAACUCAGCCCGCAUGGCCUCGCCUUCUCACUCACCUACCUCACUGCAGCCUUCGCGUACACUCCUCUUAUUAUACGCUUGCAUGCUUCGCAACAGUGCGCCGUAACAAAAGGCCGGAGCCCAUGGAGAUCAUCACCAAGCGCCCCAGGGAGAGGCGGGGCAAUGCCGCCGACGGCGAGCCGCUCCCGCAGCUGCUCGACUCGCCGCUCCCCACGCCGCGCCGCUCGUGCGCCUCCGCGGACGCGCCCGGCAGCAGCCUGCGGUGCGCCGCCUCGCCGCUGCGCACGCAGGUGCCCUUCUCCUGGGAGAGCUCCCCCGGCGUGCCCAAGAGCGGCAGGGACACGCGGGAGGAGACGAUGCCGCCGCCCAAGCUGCCGCCCGGGCGCUGGCCGCCGCAGUGCCCCACCAGGACGAACUGGUGCUACGGCAACGGGAGUGAGGCCAGCAGCGACGACUGCGACGCGUCGUCCUUCUCCGACGCGCUGGACCGGGCGUCCUCCUCGCCCGCGCGGAUCGGCUCCUUCGACCGGGUCACGUCCAAGCGCUUCGAGGACAUCUUCCUCGGCCGCGCCGAGAGCUUCGCCAAGGACCGGUCCUACUCCUUCCGCCACGCGCCCACGGGCGAGCCCAGCGCCGUCGUCGCCGCGUCGUCGUCCUCGGCGAGACACACGAAGCACUGGCGGCGACGCGGCAGCUCGCGCCACCACGAUGACGACGACGGGGAGUGGCCAAAGAGCAACGACCCCGUGAGGGUCAUGCCGCGCGUCGAGCAGAUGUCCCCCAGAGCAUGCGGGCUCAUGGUGUUCUUCCCCUGGAGCGCGAAGCGGGCGGACUGCGGGUUCAGGAGCCCGUCGACGACGCGUCGCGCCGGCGCCGUUGACCAUUCGCCCUCCCGCGGCCGCGGCAACCCUUCCCUGCGUGACGCUCUGCAGGAGGACAACAAGACCGACGACAUGGACGUGCAAGACCCGCGGCCGCAGCAGCCGCGCGGGGAGAAGAGGAGCCGCGAGGAAUGGCAUGGCCGCGGGUGGGGCGUCUCGUCGCUGCUCAACACGAGCAAAAGGUACUGCACCGACGCACGGAAGGCCCUGAGCAAGCUAUCCAUCGGCCUGGGCGCCGACAGUGGCAGCCCGAGAGUUGGCAGGGACAGGAGGAGCGGCACGCAGGAUGCCACGUCCACAACGACGACCGCGCCCGUCGUCGGCGCCAAGCUGACCAAACUCAAGUCUAACAGAAAUUAA